AGAGUGAACGCUGGCGGCAGGCCUAACACAUGCAAGUCGAACGGCAGCACAGUAAGAGCUUGCUCUUAUGGGUGGCGAGUGGCGGACGGGUGAGGAAUACAUCGGAAUCUGCCUAUUUGUGGGGGAUAACGUAGGGAAGCUUACGCUAAUACCGCAUACGACCUACGGGUGAAAGCGGAGGACCUUCGGGCUUCGCGCAGAUAGAUGAGCCGAUGUCGGAUUAGCUAGUUGGUGGGGUAAAGGCCCACCAAGGCGACGAUCCGUAGCUGGUCUGAGAGGAUGAUCAGCCACACUGGAACUGAGACACGGUCCAGACUCCUACGGGAGGCAGCAGUGGGGAAUAUUGGACAAUGGGCGCAAGCCUGAUCCAGCCAUGCCGCGUGAGUGAAGAAGGCCCUUGGUUGUAAAGCUCUUUGUGGGAAGAAAGCAAUCGGUUAAUACCCGGUUGUCUGACGGUACCAAAGAAUAAGCACCGGCUAACUUCGUG
rnacentral:rRNA from 1 species